rnacentral:rRNA from 1 species
GAUGAACGCUAGCUACAGGCUUAACACAUGCAAGUCGAGGGACCGGCGCACGGGUGAGUCACACGUAUCCACUCUCCUCUUUACUCGGGGAUAGCCUUUCGAAAGAAAGAUUAAUACCCGAUAUAAAGGAUGGGGAUGCGUUCCAUUAGGUUGUUGGUGAGGUACCGGCCCACCAAGCCUUCGAUGGAUAGGGGUUUUGAGAGGAAGGUCCCCCGCAUUGGAACUGAGACACGGUCCAAACUCCUACGAGAGGCAGCAGUGAGGAAUAUUGGUCAAUGGGCGUUAGCCUGAACCAGCCAAGGAGCGUGAAGGGUGAAGGCUUAUGGGUCGUAAACUUCUUUUAUAUAAGAAUAUGUAUUAUAUGAAUAAGGAUCGGCUAACUCCGUGCCAGCAGCCGCGGUAAUAC